rnacentral:lncRNA from 1 species
GACCUUUCUAUGUGUUGUUGGUAGGUCAUCACUUGAAAUAUCAGGUUGGAUUUAGAACGCCAGCCAGAUGCCCAUGGUAAUGAAGUUUCUCGUACAAUUUUUGAUUAAUGUAGGUAUCUGGCUAGAGCAGAUUAUGUGAUUCAGUUCACAUAAAAUGCUAGAGCAGAAGCUUACACUAAUUAUUCCAAGUUAACGUCAGAAAAGUUUGAUUGGAGUUGAUUGAUAUGAAUAUUAUGAAGAGUAAAGGUAUUAAUGCCGAGAUGAUGCUUAAAUUUUCUUUUUAUUUUAGACGAUUGUUGUUUUUAUGUUUGAUAAUCUAAAUCAGGGUUUUGAAUACC